rnacentral:rRNA from 1 species
AUUGAACGCUGGCGGCAUGCUUUACACAUGCAAGUCGAACGGUAACAGGGAGCUUGCUCCGCUGACGAGUGGCGAACGGGUGAGUAAUGCAUCGGAACGUGCCGUGUAGUGGGGGAUAACGUAGCGAAAGUUACGCUAAUACCGCAUACGCCCCGAGGGGGAAAGUGGGGACCGCAAGGCCUCACGCUAUACGAGCGGCCGAUGUCGGAUUAGCUAGUUGGUAGGGUAAAGGCCUACCAAGGCGACGAUCCGUAGCGGGUCUGAGAGGAUGAUCCGCCACACUGGGACUGAGACACGGCCCAGACUCCUACGGGAGGCAGCAGUGGGGAAUUUUGGACAAUGGGCGCAAGCCUGAUCCAGCCAUGCCGCGUGAGUGAAG